CCUAGGAAAAACAUCUUAAUGUGUAGGCAUUGCAAAAGCCAAUGGUUUGUGUAUAUGCAGAGCACAGUGCAGGCCCUGAGGGCUGAGAGUCUCUCAGUGACAUUUUCAUUGUUUUUCCGGAUAAUGGUGAUGUGAAAGCCAGGAUUUUUAUUGGUGUUCAAAUGAGGAGAGCUGCCCCUUUCUUUGAGAUUAUGCCCUUCCAAUUUUGGGGUAAAAAUCUUCUGUAAAGGGAUGGGAAUAUUUUCAUUUGGCAGCUUAAUGGUCCAUGAAAUUGCUAAGUCUGGGAAUCUGGUCUUGAGAUGCAGAGUUCUGCCCUUGGGAUUGAGUUAGUAGCAAAGCCAGACCAACUCAUAGAGCUUGUGGGUGGGCUGCUAGGGCCUCUGGGCCUUCCAGGAACGUAGAGUCACCCAGAGUCUCGGGAGCUGUGCAGGAAUUCAUUUCUAAAGUGCCCUGGGAGCUAGGCAGCAUUUUUGAAUUAUAGCCCAGGAAUGACCAGCAGGAUGCCAGAGUGAAGGACGAGGGCCUGCGAGAGCAGACAGGGCUAAUGGUGGCAAUGUGAAUUCGGCAGGCAGGCCUGGAGAUGUAUCUUGGCAUUUGUUUCCCUGCGUGGAGAUCUCUUGCUGGCAGAGCGGCAAGCUUUUGCAAUUUGGAGAUGGUGAUUCUAGGAACUGCUGUUGGAGGCAAGACCAUUGAGUCACGGAUUGCUUAAUACCCUUCAUGUGGGCUCCCAUGCUAGGGCACCUUCCAGGAGGAGCCUGGGAUUCUUAGGGCAAGCUGUAGAAUGGUUGGACCCUGGAAAUGGCUGCUUCUCACACCACCCCCUUUUUGGUGGUUGGUGGUGUUCCUUGCUGGGUUGGGGAACAGAGGGAGAAAAACAUCUCUAGGUUUGAAAUAAUAGUUUAACAUAGUAUAUAAUGGGUUUCAGGCAACGCUUUAGAAAUUUGUUGAGCUUAGCGAACCUAAGAGAUGUAUUAAUCAUUAAAGCACUUUCCAUGCAAGCAUGAGGACUCAAGUUCAAUUCCCAGCACCCAUGAAAAAGCUAGGCAUUGUGCCUGUAACCCUGGAGCUCUGGAGAGGAAGAGGCGGGACGAUCCUUGGGGCUUGCAGGGCAGCCAAUCCAAGUAGGUGAAUUUCAGAGUCAGUGAGAGAGACCCUGUCUUUAAAAAUAAGGAAGAGCUCUGGGCUGUGGUGGGGCACACCUUUAUUCCCAGCACUCAGGAGGCAGAGGCAGGUGGAUUUCUGAGUUCAAGGACAGCCAGGGAUACACAGAGAAACAUUGUCUCAAAAAAAGGAGAGGGAGAGAGGGAAUGAGAGAAUGAGGAAGAUGAUCAGUGUUGACCUCUGACCUAUGUGUGUACAUAGGCUCACACACAUGAGCAAUGCAAGCAUACAUGUGCAUAAAAUCUGUGCUUAGUCAUCUGUAUCUCACCGAUCACAGUGAUAACAACUUUUACCAUGAAGCCCUCUGAGCUCAGAGAGUCGUAGUAGCCAUUAUGCCAUCCAACCCUCAGGAAACCUUGAUCCUGUUUUAGAGAUAAGGCUGUACAGUGGCCAUCCUGUUGUCCCGGACCUUCAGUAAAUACCGAGGAGACCACUGGUUGCCAAGUGACAGGACGAAGCGAUAAUCUUAUUUAUCAGGAGCCAUCAGGAGCUCUACAGGAAACAUUAACUCUUUGGGGGACAGCCUCGUUUUUCCAUUUGACCGUUAACGUUUAACUCUUUGGGGGGACAGCCUCAUUUUCCAUUUGACCGUUAACCGUGCUGCAGAAAAGUCAGAGGCCUACACAAGUCUGUUGGUGGUACCACUAUUUCUUCUCCGAUUUUGGCUCCCAAGUGCAGUUUCUUUCAUGUGAUUUUUCAGACAUAUUGGAAAGUGGGAGUUGCUCUGUUGACUCUCCGGCCAUUUCCCAGGAUGGAUUACUUCUGUCUAAAAUAAGGGGGAUCUGAUUAGUCGUCACAUGCAGGUACUGGGAAGCUGAGGCAGCGGGUGAGGAUUUCAGGGCCUCUUCAGCAGGCUCAAGGCUAGUCUGAGGUUCUGACUCCUGGGGCCUUGGCCUGGAACCAUGGGAGAUGGUGUGUUUCCCUGGGCAUCAUGCUUGCUCCUCGCUGCUCACUGCGUUCUUAACUUGAGGGUCUUUGUUUAGUUUCUUCACUUGUUCUAGGCAAAGCCAGGCUACCUUCUACACUGAGUAUCUUGUAUUGCUGGGCAGUACUGUCUCUAAGUGGAAGUACUGUGUAUAGAUGAAAAGUUCUGUCUAUAGGUAGAAGUAGUGUGUAUGGCUGGGCAGUACUGUAAGAUAGAAGUACUGUGCAUAGCUGCAGUACUGUCUGUGGGUAGAAGUACUGUGUAUGGCUGGGCAGUACUGUCUGGGUAGAAGUACUGUGUAUGGCUGGGCAUACUGUCUGUGGGUAGAAGUACUGUGUAUGGCUGGGCAGUACUGUCUGUGGGUAGAAGUACUGUGUAUGGCUGGGCAGUACUGUCUGUGGGUAGAAGUAUUGUGUAUGGCUGAGCAGUACCGUCUAUAGGUAAAGGGAGAAAGCUAGCACAAGUUAGGUUUCCUAGGGUUUUGUUUUUUUGUUUUUGUUUUUGUUUUUGUUUUUUGUGAGCUACGGCACUGUAAUUUGCAGACAGACAUGGCUGAGGCCUGAUGAGAAUGCUCAGUUACCGGGGCCUCAAUACCGUGGGGAGCACUGCCCAGCCCUAGACUCUCCCUGCUGUCAGUACAGAACUUUUCGGGUCGUCCCCAGGAAACAAGUUUCAUAUAUGUUUUUCUAGGUCAUUAGUGAAGAGAGACAUUCAUCUGGUGCCUCCCAGAAACCUCAGCUCCACGUGCUCAUUCCUUUGUGCAGCAAAUGUUUAUUGCAUACAUAGUUGGCGCCAGGCACUGUGCCAAGUCCGGGAAGACAGAAGAAUGUGCCAGAGCAUUGGUAGGUGCUCUCGUGGAGGCCUGUGUGGGCUUUGCAGGGACUGCGAGAAAGGAAGCUGUCCUUAAGUUCCUCCCGAGGAAGCCCUUUUCUGGCUCCUGCCCCACCCUCAACUCCCUGGAACUUUCAGUCUUUCUCCCCUGCCAACAGGGGAUCCUUCUGUGGAAGUAGGAACAAGGCCAUUCAAAUCCCAGCAGUUUGCAUUUGGGGGUGGGGUGGGAGAGGGAUAGGACACUUUUGCCCUGCAGGGCACAUUUGACUUGGAGACAUUUUAGCGAGGAACAGCGAAGGCUUUUGCAGAUAGAGAUUAGGGAUUCGAUCAGCCAGUGUACAGUGCACAGGGCAACCUUACCCCGAAGAGAUUACCGGAGCUUGGUGUUGAAAAACCAUACUCUUAGGGUUUUGGUAUUGCCCUGUCAGGGAGUCACCACAUGUCCACUGAUGGCAGAAUUCUUGUUGAACACUGUAAUUAUGUGAAGCCUCACCUGCAAAGGAGAGAACUAAAGGUCUGUAUGUAACACGGUCCUGAGGAUUUCAGGAGUUGAUAGAGGAUGAGGGCUUGGACCACCACUUGGCAGACAGUGAGACCUUAACCGGUAGAAUUACUCUUGGCUUACUAAGAUUUGCCUUUUGAACCAAAGAGCUCAACUUUGGGGAACCCGUUGUAGUGCUGCCUCCCAGGCGUGCUUUGGCGUAAGAACUGUUUGUAGGUUUCCCCUUUUGUCAGUAUUUCCCACUGUUCCCACUCCUUUGAUUCGAAGGCUUUCAGUAGCUUUGCCUUUUAUCCCUUUUCCCAGGGACCCAAAUUUCUGUCCUUGCCAAGCCUUCCCCUAGAGGGCUGAGAGUAUAUUUAUGAUCUUCCUUAGCUCCGUCUAUUUCGGGAAUGGUGAGAAAGCGGGAAGCAGGUCAGGGGGAGCUGCUGCAUCGCGUCCUGCCUGCCAGGGCUUCCUCCACCAUGAGAGUCCUAGGUGGGAGGCAGGUGGUAGUGCCUGCUCGUAAGUCUCCCCUCAGCACCCACCAGCUAAGUGCCUGCUACUUCCAAAAUACCCAGUAAUUGGGUCACACAUCAUCUGGCUGCCAGGAAUCAUCUGAAAAAUCAAAGCAAAGACGCAGUGAGAUUUGAAACACCUCUGCCCCCCUGCUUUAUGGUGAUUCCAAAAUUAGAAAUAUAGGGAAGCGGUCUUGUCGUCUCAGGUAGGUAGCUGUGUCCUUGUGGCCUGGAACUCUAUCUUAUUUUUACUUUUGUAAAAAGUAUGUGGAGCCCUUUUACAGGGAGACGAGCCUUUGUGGACUCCAUUCAGUGGAUUCAGAUUUACUGUCAAAUUUUCAUUUGGUUUUGGAUGCUGUCAACAGACUGCAGAGAAUGUAAGGAACCAGGUGUCUUAGUCACUGUUCUGUUGCUGUGAAGAGACACCAUGACCAAGGCAGCUUAUAAGAGAAGGCAUUUAACUGGGGACUCGCUUACAGUUGGAGACAAGAUGGGAGAGAGCGAGG
ensembl:lncRNA